CAGUAGCCGCGGUAAUACAGAGGGUGCAAGCGUUAUCCGGAAUGAUUGGGCGUAAAGCGUCUGUAGGUGGCUUUUCAAGUCCGCCGUCAAAUCCCAGGGCUCAACCCUGGACAGGCGGUGGAAACUACCAAGCUGGAGUACGGUAGGGGCAGAGGGAAUUUCCGGUGGAACGGUGAAAUGCGUUGAGAUCGGAAAGAACACCAACGGCGGAAGCACUCUGCUGGGCCGACACUGACACUGAGAGACGAAAGCUAGGGGAGCAAAUGGGAUUAGAUACCCCCGUAGUCCCUGUCUCUUAUAC
rnacentral:rRNA from 1 species